CGGGUCUUGACAUCGAGUGAAAGAUGUAGAGAUACAUUCCUCUCUUCGGAGACACGAAGACAGGUGGUGCAUGGUUGUCGUCAGCUCGUGUCGUGAGAUGUUGGGUUAAGUCCCGCAACGAGCGCAACCCUUAUCAUUAGUUGCUACGCAAGAGCACUCUAAUGAGACUGCCGUUGACAAAACGGAGGAAGGUGGGGAUGACGUCAAAUCAUCAUGCCCUUUAUGACCCGGGCUACACACGUACUACAAUGGUGUUUAACAAAGAGAAGCAAAACCGCGAGGCGGAGCAAAACUCUAAAAAACAUCUCAGUUCAGAUUGUAGGCUGCAACUCGCCUGCAUGAAGUCGGAAUUGCUAGUAAUCGUAGGUCAGCAUACUACGGUGAAUACGUUCCC
rnacentral:rRNA from 1 species